rnacentral:antisense_RNA from 1 species
AGAAGACGCUAGGUGGGCUGCGCGCUCUGCCAGGCGAAGGCUGGAGCGCAGACGGCAAAGCCGCGCGUUUCAGCCGUGGUCGGGUCCGCAGGACCUGGGCGUGGGGACACCACCAGGCAGGAGCAGAGGCAGGACUGGGACGCCAAAAGCUGAGAAUCCUCGAUGCCCGCGCGAGAGCCCCGUGUUAUGGCGAGGUGGGACAACCCUUAGGCUGGAGAUGCGCGAGGGAGGGAGGUCUGAGCGCUCCGAAGCUCCGGAGGCGGCUGCAGCUGGAUACACCUCACUGGGAUGCGCUUGUGGCAGAGCCUUAGUAGGGAAGGUGGUGGCGUUCUUGUCCUUGCAGCUCAGAGUUCAGUGUCUGGAGAGCGCAGAGAGAAAGAGCCCCAAGUCUCGAGGAAGCGUACCCCUCGCCAGAUCUCUUGGUGCACCUGCGCCCCUGUCCCUGGCCUUUUCGAGGAUGCCCCGAUAGCCUGCCGGGUGGCUCUGAGAAAGUCAAUUGCUUUCUGCAAUGCCAGAAGAGGUGGUUUUAUAUAGUCAGUUUGUAAAAGAGAAAAAUAGAUAUUCUAGCGCAUAUAGGGAGGCAAAAGAAAAAGCCCGCCUGUGAAGCUGUCAAGGUCCUCACAGUACAAUUUUCUCUCUGCCUCAGCGCCUCCUCCUCCCCUUUCUGGAGGCUGGGAAGUUCAAGACCAAUGCACGAGAAUUUGGUCUAAAGAGAAUCUUCUUGCUCUGAACACACAUAGUAGAAGGCAGAAGGGCAAGAGAGAGAACAAAGUCUGUGUCUCCACAUGGCAGAAGAGCAGAGGAGACAGAACCUACUCCUCUAUGGCAACCACCCCAUCAAUGACAAAAAUCCUAGAAGGAUGUAUGUAUAGGAAGUUGAAGUGUUGAGAAGAGAAUGGCUCAGAGUCAAGCGGGAACAAGUUCUAUAUCUGGAUAAAGUGCGAAGGAGCUUAAAUCUGUUGAAACCCAAAAUUUGCCUCCGUUUAAUGGCUUAGUUUCUUCUGUCUAAUGGUAACUGGAAUUUCCCUUUCUAAUUGUGUAUUGAAGAACGAGAACGACUCAUGUUUAAGUGUUAGAUAAGAAUUAAAUUAUAUUCAUAUAUUAGAGCUCCAGAAGCUAAGCAGUCCAAGAUCAAAGUGCCCACAGAUGCAGUGUCUGGUGACAGCACUUUUCCUGGCUGAAGUUAGUUCGGCAUGAAGUUAGCAUAUUUCUUUCAACGGCAAAGCACAGAGUUCUACCAAGCAGAUAAGACACCGUGAGGAUGAAAAUAAAAAUUUUGUAUUUGCAACAAAUGUGUAUUCUGCAAGUGAAAUUGAACCUGUCUUCUGAAAGUUAAAAAAUUAGGAUAUUUCAUCUUUGUACAAAAAUAUACAAAUAUAAGGCAGGAUAGAAGGAGAAUAUAGAGGAAAGACACAUGCAGCUACCUAUCUUUGUCAUCUGAGCAUAAGUGAAGGAUAAAAUGUUACAAAUACAAAUAAUUUAUCACAAAUAUGCUUUGGAAUGUUUUCAGUGUGUCAGGAUUGAUAUUAACCUGCACAAGAAUGCCUAAAAGCAAGAUUGGGAAUGAAAAAUUGGCAAGACAUUAUAAUGAAACACCAGUUUCCUUUGUUCAAGUUGCCUGGAGCCCUUUAUCCAUCUUCUGGCCUUACCUCCUCACUGUAUUUCUAGAAAAUGAUUGCUCCAUGAUGAGCUUCCUAUAUUCAACUAUGUGCAAUAACUGAAAAUAAAAGAAUUGUGGAAAAUUUCUAAAAAUGUUGCACAGAAAAUAGGAAAAAGGAAAAUAAUAACAAGAAUAAGAAAUCACAGAAAUAUUACCAAAUCAGAAAAGUGACACUCUAAAGGACUCUAAAAGGUAAACAUUCUGAUAAAAAGUAUUUCCCAUGAAAUCUAAGAAUAUAGUUACAAUAUGGCCUCUGGAUUUACAGGCUUCAAAAAAGAUCUACAGUGGCUUAAGAAAGAAAUUACACAAAACUAGUAAGAUCAAUUUUGAGCUUUCAAGCCUUAGAAAAUAAAUUCAAGGAAAAACAAAAGUUAUCAGGAAAACGAAAGCAUAUUGUUAAUUUAAGAGGAAGAGUGGAAAUAAGAGCAUAGAAGAGUAA